AGCGCUCACUCAAGUUCGCAUUUGCAGCCGGAGUGUCCUACUGAAUCUGUUGUCAAAAUUUCGCUAACAAGCAAUAUAUAAUGUAACUCACUACACAAGGUUCCUAAAUAUACUGUUACUACAAUGGGGAAAAUGCUACAACGGGCGUACAAAAAUAGGAGCUGAUACUGCAGCUGGUUCCAAAGCCAGAAAUAAAGUGGGAAGAGAAGUGGAAUGAAGAUGGCCGGUGUUAUUAUACACUGAACUGUUCUGUCCAAUCAUACUACCCAGCGCUUUCCUGCAGUUGGAUGUACAGGUAUAAUAACUCUGAGUAUCAACACUAUGCAAAUGGAAGCACAAUCGAAACCUCAGCACGGAAUAACACACUGUAAUAUCUCUGCUUGGUACAAAAUCCUGCAAACAAGGAUAAUACCACUUUUGUUGUAUCAACCUGUCCUGGGAAAGAGAAUCAUGAUAUUAUAUAUACCGGUAUUGGAGGUUUUCCACUAAAAAGUACUGAUCAGAACGUGUGUAAUCAAAAUGGAACCAACAGCAAACCUUUGCUAUACCCAGAAACAACCUAUGUUGAUGUGAAGCGAUAGCUGACUCUCAAAUGGGAUGUCACUGACCCUGAAAACCAAAAAUGUAUUUCUCUCUGAGGCUACAGUUUUAUUGGCACUUAUUGUUCUAUUAAAGCCCACUCCUCUUCAUCUUCCUGCCUCUCAUUUAAACCAAGGCCUGGUUGCUAGGGUUAAUUAGACCAGGAAGCUGCAUUCUCUAAGCUGAAUGGGAGACCCCGUGGCUGGUUGGUUUUUGGUCUCGAAUUUUGGCUAAAGUGGUGGAGCGGUGGAUACAUCGACUGCCCUGAUUCAUUUGAAUAGCCCCAUACAGCAAGCGUGAACUGAAAUGGAGCUGGACUUUUGGGGAACAUUUAUCAUAACUGUACAAUAAACAGCACAAUUGACUCUUCAUGUAGCACAGAAAAGCCACAAGUUAAUAUAUAAACGCAAUACAAACUGCAUUAAUCUGUCAAAUGCUGCUUUAUCUAAUGGUCUGAGGUAUGUGUAUAGAUUUUAAAGGUCAAAUUAAACCAUGCCAGAGAAUACCAGCCACACCUAAAAGGAGGUAAUUACCCAAUAACAGCUUUUUAAUCAUUUUUUCAUGUUUAAUGAAUUGGCAUUUUGGUAUACUUAAUUGGUACAAAUUGGUGUAUGUAUAUUGUAUUGUAUUGUAUAUUGGUCUAUGUAUGUAUAUUCCUGUACUAUAAAAUGUAGGAUUGUAAUGCAUUUGGAAUGUGCAAUAAGAUUUAAAACAUUUUAUUAUAUUUAUUGGCGAUAUAAUUAAAUGUAUCCACAAUAUUAAGCAAUAAAGUCAGUAUUUGUUAGCGAAAAGUACUAUUUUGAACUAGUUAAGCAGGUAGAACCUAAUGUGUGAGACAGAAGUAAAUGAAAAGCCAUUCUCCAAAAAAGUAGUUGGUUAGAUCCAGAUCACUCUAAUUAACGGGUAUAAAAUUAUUAAUUAAUUGAAAUCCAAAAUUAAUAAAAAUUGGCUAGUGUCUAUGGAGGUACCUACU